rnacentral:rRNA from 1 species
ACUGUCAGUAUGUGCUGGAAUGCUUUGUGCGUAAAACGGAUUCCUCCGCCCAAGGAUGGGUCUGCGGCCUAUCAGGUAGUAGUGGGUGUAAUGUACCUACUAGCCAACAACGGGUACGGGUUGUGAGAGCAAGAGCCCGGAGAUGGAUUCUGAGACAUGAAUCCAGGCCCUACGGGGCGCAGCAGGCGCGAAAACUUUACAAUGCGGGAAACCGUGAUAAGGGAACACCGAGUGCCAGCAUCAUAUGCUGGCUGUCCAGAUGUGUAAACUACAUCUGUUAGCAAGGGCCGGGCAAGACCGGUGCCAGCCGCCGCGGUAACACCGGCGGCCCGAGUGGUGACCGUUAUUAUUGGGUCUAAAGGGUCCGUAGCCGGUUUGGUCAGUCCUCCGGGAAAUCUGAUAGCUUAACUGUUAGGCUUUCGGGGGAUACUGCCAGGCUUGGAACCGGGAGAGGUAAGAGGUACUACAGGGGUAGGAGUGAAAUCUUGUAAUCUUCUGUGGGACCACCUGUGGCGAAGGCGUCUUACCAGAACAGGUUCGACGGUGAGGGACGAAAGCUGGGGGCACGAACCGGAUUAGAUACCCGGGUAGUCCCAGCCGUAAACGAUGCUCGCUAGGUGUCAGGCAUGGCGCGACCGUGUCUGGUGCCGCAGG